UGGGGAAUAUUGGACAAUGGGCGAAAGCCUGAUCCAGCCAUGCCGCGUGAGUGACGAAGGCCUUAGGGUUGUAAAACUCUUUCGUCGGGGACGAUAAUGACGGUACCCGAAGAAGAAGCUCCGGCUAACUUCGUGCCAGCAGCCGCGGUAAUACGAAGGGAGCUAGCGUUGUUCGGAAUCACUGGGCGUAAAGCGCGGGCAGGCGGUCUGUUAAGUCGUUUGUGAAAAUCCGGGGCUCAACCCCGGAAAUGCAUACGAUACUGGCAGGCUGGAGACUGGUAGAGGCUAGCGGAAUUCCUGGUGUAGCGGUGGAAUGCGUAGAUAUCAGGAAGAACAUCGGUGGCGAAGGCGGCAUCCUGGACCGGUAUUGACGCCGAGGCGCGAAAGCCAGGGGAGCAAACAGGAUUAGAUACCCGAGUAGUCCCUGAGCGGGCUGGCAAGGCGCAU
rnacentral:rRNA from 1 species